rnacentral:rRNA from 1 species
UGGGGAAUAUUGCACAAUGGGCGCAAGCCUGAUGCAGCCAUGCCGCGUGUAUGAAGAAGGCCUUCGGGUUGUAAAGUACUUUCAGCGGGGAGGAAGGGAGUAAAGUUAAUACCUUUGCUCAUUGACGUUACCCGCAGAAGAAGCACCGGCUAACUCCGUGCCAGCAGCCGCGGUAAUAUGGAGGGUGCAAGCGUUAAUCGGAAUUACUGGGCGUAAAGCGCACGCAGGCGGUUUGUUAAGUCAGAUGUGAAAUCCCCGGGCUCAACCUGGGAACUGCAGCUGAUACUGGCAAGCUUGAGUCUCGUAGAGGGGGGUAGAAUUCCAGGUGUAGCGGUGAAAUGCGUAGAGAUCUGGAGGAAUACCGGUGGCGAAGGCGGCCCCCUGGACGAAGACUGACGCUCAGGUGCGAAAGCGUGGGGAGCAAACAGG